rnacentral:lncRNA from 1 species
GUGGGAAAAAAAAAAUGUUUAUAAACGUCAGUAUUUGCUGAUAAAAGUUUAUUUGUUUGAUGUUAGAAGUUCUGCCUCUGGAUGGUCUUGUAUUAAAUUCUAUAUGAUGUUCAGUGGGAAUGGCUACCAGGUCGUUCACUAUUUUAUACAGUAGUACCAGUCUUUGUUCUCGUCUUCUUUCCACAAGAGGUUUCCAUCCAAGGUCCUUCAUCAUGGAGGUGACACUACUAGUACUUAUGUUCUUCUUUGCUAUUCUCAUACGAACAUUAAAAUUGUCUUAAUAAUCAUUGAUAAUACAUAAAUAAAACAAAAAGUUUGAUGAGAAAUUGUACUGAUAUUUUUU